GCCUGAAGACGGGGAUAACUACUGGAAACGGUGGCUAAUACCCGAUGUGCUCGGCGAUUCGGUUCGUCGAGUAAAGCUCCGGCGCUUCGGGAUGGGCUGCGGCCUAUCAGCUAGUUGGUAGGGUAAUGGCCUACCAAGGCGAAGACGGGUAGGGGGCGUGAGAGCGUGGUCCCCCACACUGGCACUGAGACACGGGCCAGACUCCUACGGGAGGCAGCAGUCGGGGAUAUUGCACAAUCGGCGCAAGCCGGAUGCAGCGACGCCGCGUGGGCGAUGAAGAUCUUCGGGUUGUAAAGCCCUUUUCUGGGGGACGAGAAAGGACGGUACCCCAGGAAUAAGUCCCGGCUAACUACGUGCCAGCAGCCGCGGUAACACGUAGGGGACGAGCGUUAUCCGGAUUCACUGGGCGUAAAGAGCGUUGAGGCGGUUCUGUAAGUUGGGCGUGAAAGCCCCGGGCUUAACCCGGGGACGUCGUUCAAUACUGCAGGACUUGAGGGCAGCAGAGGGAGGUGGAAUUCCCGGUGGAGUGGUGAAAUGCGUAGAUAUCGGGAGGAACACCAGUGGCGAAGGCGGCCUCCUGGGCUGCUCCUGACGCUGAAGGCGAAAGCUAGGGGAGCAAACGGGAUUAGAAACCCCGGUAGUCCUAGCCGUAAACGAUGGAUGCUAGGUGUGGGGGGUAUAGACUCCCUCCGUGCCAAAGCUAACGCGUUAAGC
rnacentral:rRNA from 1 species